AACGCACCUUGCACCCUUUGGUAUUCCGAAGGGUAUGCUCGUUUGAGUGUCAUUGUACUCUCACACUUCCGAUCGUUUGGAUCGGGAGCGGUGGACUUGGGUGUUGCUGCUGUACUGUGGCUCACCUUAAAUGCAGUAGUGCAACUCUCGGUUGGACAUAGUACGGCGUGAUAAGUGUCUUCGCCGGCACCUCCUCACAGAGGGUGGCCGAUCGGGAGCUCUGUGCUUCAAACCGUCUUCGGACAACAUCUGACAACUUGACCUCAAAUCGAGUAGGACUACCCGCUGAACUUAA
rnacentral:misc_RNA from 1 species